rnacentral:rRNA from 1 species
CGUAGAGUUUGAUCUGGCUCAGGAUGAACGCUGGCGGCGUGCCUAACACAUGCAAGUCGAACGAAGCACUGGGGCGGACUUUUUCGGAGACGAAGCCCCUGUGACUGAGUGGCGGACGGGUGAGUAACGCGUGGACAACCUACCCCGCACUGGGGGACAACAGCCGGAAACGGCUGCUAAUACCGCAUAUGCGCACGGCCCCGCAUGGGGCUGUGCGGAAAGCCCAGGCGGUGCGGGAUGGGUCCGCGUCUGAUUAGCUUGUUGGCGGGUAACGGCCCACCAAGGCGACGAUCAGUAGCCGGCCUGAGAGGGUGGGCGGCCACAUUGGGACUGAGACACGGCCCAGACUCCUACGGGAGGCAGCAGUGGGGAUAUUGCACAAUGGGGGCAACCCUGAUGCAGCGACGCCGCGUGAGCGAUGGAGUACUUCGGUAUGUAAAGCUCUGUCAGCAGGGAAGACAUUGACGGUACCUGACCAAGAAGCCCCGGCUAAAUACGUG